rnacentral:RNase_P_RNA from 2 species
ACAGCUCAAAAGCUACGAGGCUCACCACGCACAAGAUACGUCUCGCACGCGUCUUCCCUUCUGAGCGGGAUAAGGUCUGAGCGUUCCAAUCUCCCUCGAUCGUCCCUAGAUGGGACCAGUCUUCAUGGACUGAGCGACGUACCAGAAAAACAGUUGCGCAAUUGUCCAACUUUGAAAGGCGUCGUGGAGAUCGGGUGGGUGGACUUUUUUUCUUUCCUUACCAUCAUACGCAGAUCGGUGUGGGCGCACAACUGUGGUCGCUGCUUCAGCUCAGUGCUGAUUCAGCAGUGUGGAUCGAUUGGCACCUUGGGAUACGUACCUGAGGAGAGGAGCAGCACAGCCAUAUAGCUGAUCGCUGAACGGGCCAGAGAGCCCACCCGUUAACGGGAUUAUGAAUCUCAGGCGAAAAAUCAUCCGCCGAUGGGGAGAAUUCCCCGAGUGACGCUACCGUCACCCUCUGUGAUCACACAUCACCUGGACUUGUAGAAGUCCCCUGACAUAUUUGUCAGUACUGGGAAAUCCAGUCAGCCUUGUCAAUCCCGGCCGCGUUGUCCCUGCACUGUAUCAACCAGUGUCACAACCGUCGUACCACAUCGGAGCGAUGGGUGUGUGCCGUAUGAGGAGAGGAGCCGAUCUGUCGUCUUGGUAUAGGACCACCUAUCCUUUAGUUCACUUCGUGGCUCGCAGUCCUUUGUUGGCUGCGAAACUCGAUUCAGACUACUCUUGAACUGU